rnacentral:rRNA from 1 species
GGGGCAACGGGGUGCGGGUCCUCGGGGCCAACCUCCCACCCGUGUUGCCCGAACCUAUGUUGCCUCGGCGGGCCCCGCGCCCGCCGACGGCCCCCCUGAACGCUGUCUGAAGUUGCAGUCUGAGACCUAUAACGAAAUUAGUUAAAACUUUCAACAACGGAUCUCUUGGUUCCGGCAUCGAUGAAGAACGCAGCGAAAUGCGAUAACUAAUGUGAAUUGCAGAAUUCAGUGAAUCAUCGAGUCUUUGAACGCACAUUGCGCCCUCUGGUAUUCCGGAGGGCAUGCCUGUCCGAGCGUCAUUGCUGCCCUCAAGCCCGGCUUGUGUGUUGGGCCCCGUCCCCCCCGCCGGGGGGACGGGCCCGAAAGGCAGCGGCGGCACCGCGUCCGGUCCUCGAGCGUAUGGGGCUUCGUCACCCGCUCUAGUAGGCCCGGCCGGCGCCAGCCGACCCCCAACCUUUAAUUAUCUCAGGUUGACCUCGGAUCAGGUAGGGAUACCCGCUGAACUUAAGCAUAUCAAUAAGCGGAGGAA